UACGUAGGGGGCUAGCGUUGUCCGGAUUUAUUGGGCGUAAAGAGCGUGUAGGCGGCCAGGUAGGUCCGUUGUGAAAACUCGAGGCUCAACCUCGAGACGUCGGCGGAAACCCUCUGGCUAGAGUCCGGAAGAGGAGAGUGGAAUUCCUGGUGUAGCGGUGAAAUGCGUAGAUAUCGGGAGGAACACCUGUGGCGAAAGCGGCUCACUGGACCACAACUGACGCUGAGGCGCGAAAGCUAGGGGAGCAAACAGG
rnacentral:rRNA from 1 species